GGAAGGGUCGCAUAGUGGCCUAGUGCGCUCGCUUGGAAAGCGGGUAUACCGCAAGGUAUCGAGGGUUCGACUCCCUCCCCUUCCG
rnacentral:tRNA from 5 species